ensembl:lncRNA
GAAUGAGGGAGAGGGAGGAAGCACAGGUCACAUCAAAGUUUGGGUCCUGAGUAACCUGAUGGGUGGUGGCACUUGCCAGACUGUGGAUGAGGAUCACGGCUCCACCGAGCGAGGUCUGACCUGGACACUUCGGGUCGUCAGCAUUCCAAGCAGCCAACGCUCUGCUCUAGAAGGAGUAACUUCAGCUGAGCGCGUCUGCCUGCACAUUGGCUCCCACUAAUGGGAUUCAGAUGCAGCCAGGUCUCGCUGCAAGACUUCCUGCUGACAGCGAAGACAGGCCCACAAGAUAUCAUCCCCAGAAUGUGCCGCAGGAAAGAAGAUUAGCCCCUUGGCAGGGCUGCAAUCGAUCAUUCCAGGCUCUCGCUUCUCGACCCAGCUGUUGUCUGGUCCCUGGCUGAUGCCGCCAACUGCAUCAUCACCUGCUUGAUUCACUCUACAAAUAUCAUCUGAACAACAUCUAUGUCCAGGACACCUGUUCCAUGUGCUGUGACAGUUCUAGGCACACACAGAGUCUUCAUCUGGAAAUGGAGUCAAAGAAAGGAAUAGUCACGAAGAUUAACUGAGGUACUGGUUGCAAAGUAUAAGGCUGGUGUCUGCCUUGGAAUAAGCUGAGAAGCUGGUUCACCUGUCCUGUAUCCUGCUGGAUUCCCUGAGCAAGGUGCAUUCUCCUUCCGAAUAAGCAGUGAGCUCACCACCUGCCCGUCUUGUAUGGGUGAGGAGAAACCUGUCAUACGUCUCCCCUAAGAAGGUGGAAGCCUCUCCGUCCAUUUCAGCUCUGAUUCCAGACCAUAUGCGAGCCCCAGGCUUGUAGAAACAGAGAGGAUAACAGGCCACUGCCCUCCAGGUCACUGCUCAAGAAGACAGAGAGCUGAAAUUAUACCCUUUUCAGAUGGUCGUGUCGGGAAUGUAGGGACGUCAUAGCUGUGGGGAGAGAAGAGGACUUCAACCAGAACUUGCUGUAGCCCAGGGCAGGUCCUGUGUGGCUGCAGGGCCUCCACGCGACAAGACCCUAAUGGUGAGGAGAGACUCUCUUGCUACUCGGCGGGUCUUGCUGGACUGGCACCAUUGGCCUCACCUGGGGCUUCUGAGAAAUGCAGACUCUCAGGCCCACCUGGACUUACUGACCGGAAUGUGCACUUUAACUGGAUCCCCAGCCCAUCUCAUCUGAACCCUCAGUGCUCUUCAUGUCUGUGCCAGAGAAACAUAAGAUUUAAGAGCUUACUAAUCACCAGAUGCUCUGCUGCUCUUUACAUCCACGAGACAGAUUCUUUCACUGUCAGCAUCUCCAUCACACAGAGACAAAAGCAGACCUGGAUUAGGAGGAAGUCUGCUGGCAGCUACCCAGCAGAUGCGAGGGCAGCAGUUGGGGUCCAGUGUGUGUUUGCUGGGCCCCCGGGCCAUUCGCUCAAUUUUAGGUCUACAGUCGCAUGUGAUCAAUGCUCUCCACCGGUGCCCUGGCUGACGUCCCCGGUUAUUUCUCAGUUGACAGAUUCCUCCGAAGGACGGCCCAGGACUCGUCUCCUGUGCCGGCCCUGCACCGUGUCAGCUUUGUGAACUGCGUUCCAGGAUGUCCUUUGCCGGUGAGGGUUAGGUUGGUCACGCGAGAAAUCUGCAUGAGAGUUUGGACGGCAAGUGAAGCAGCAGCUGAUCCAAUGCUCUAAAGGCUGAUGUGGGGUGCCGGGCACGACAGCCACUCCAGUAUAGGAAGCAUCAUUUAGGUCCCAAUGGACCUUCUCCUGCAGCUCCAUGACACAGGGCCCACGCUUCUCCCACAGUCCAGCUUUCCUUCCAAUCUGCUGGCCUGAAGGAUCUAAAGAGGCUUAAGGUCCAAACCAGAUGCACGAGCAACAGCCUUGCACAGCUUCCUCCACCUGCAGCCACAAGUGUGAAAGGUCCAAUCCUGAUAAGGAAUCUGUUCUGUAGUGCUCCUAGUCUUUCUGCUUCUGUGAUCACACCCUGACUUCCCACCUGCACGUAUCAAAGGCAGGUCUCAGAAGGGGCUCAAAUGUCAACCAUCCACAUGAAGCUCGAUCCUGCAGCUGCAGGAGUCAGCAGAUAAUUGUGGCCCUGGGAAACAAAGAUGUGCAGGGCUCCAGUUGAAUGAUCGCACUCUCACUGCUCUUCACUCCUGACCUUGCACGUUUCUGUUCCAUAUCACUGCCAGCAUCUUGAAGGCAGGUCCUGGGUCUCCUUAGUCUCCAUCCAUCCCCAGUUUCCACACAGUGCCUAACAUAUAGCAGCUGCCAGAUUAACACUGUUGGCUAUUAGCCUCUCUUCCUCAACUUCCCCCUCCUUGCCCCAAAGCUACUGAGGCCCAUGAGAUCUUCUUCACCUGCUUUGAAAGGAAAGGAGAACCGUCCAUCAGACCUGGAGGGCUUUUGGAUCCUAACGAAACACUUAGUGUGUCCUGUCCUAACGGUAACGGAUGCAGCACAGACACCGGAGAGCGGGGAUAAUAUAUUCUGUGCAGUAACUGAAAAACAAAAUAUUUAUUGCAAAGUUUUUUAAAGCGUCAUUCUACUUGCAAAUGUUGUACCGCAGACAUAUGUCAGCUGAGUGUGCCUCUGGCACAAAGAACACAAGUAAACAGAAAUAUUUUAAUUUGAGCUACAGUACGCACCCCAUCUGACAGCUUUAUGAUGGGUUGCAUGGCUUCCAUAUGCUGUGGGUGAUGACGAAGCUGUCUACCUUCACUCCAACCAGGGAAAGCAAAGCAGUGGGGGAAGGAAGAGAGCAUGCAUUAAGCACCUACUGUAUGCCAGUUACUGAGUUGAGUGAUUUGAUUUUCAUUUUAGUAAACAUUCACAAGGGCUCUAAGAGAGGACAUUGUCACCAUUUACAUUUGGGAAAACAGGCUCAGACAGGAUGAACAACUCGUCCAAAUCCACACAGCUCAUGAUUUGCGGCAGUGGAAUUUUAUCUCAGAUGUAUUGAGUGAUAAAGCCAUUAUUUAUUUCACUUUUGCACAGAAAUAAAUAGGCUGCUCUUGGCAGGCAGAUGAGAUAAAGAAAGUUACAGCACAUUCAGUGAUGGCAUCACUGUGUUUCUGUUCCUCCAGGGCAGCCUGUUACAGCGGCUAGAGGAGGAGACGACUGAGAAGGGGUCUCCAGCACGUCUCCCUAGGACUCCAGGCAGGGAAAAGAGAAGGACAUCUCCUCGCUCUCUUCUCCAGAGAGAAGGCGUGUCUUGUCCAAGGCAGGGGCUUGGGAAAGACGAGACUCACAAGGAUGGGACAGCCCAGGCCAGCUUAGGCAGGUGGACGGCGGGGGCUUUGGACGGGCCUCACCACAUUUGAGUGCUGGCUCUACCCCUCACUGCAGACCUUAGACCAGCCAUGUGGCCGCCAGGGCUCCAGCCUCUUCACCUGCAAAGUGGAACCCUCCCCACUGGGUUUCUCUGAGGAGCACGGAGGUCACUGGAUGUACACUGUGCACAUGGACAGCACUGAAUGAGCAUUAACUGCCUCUGCUUUCAACCCCAAGGGGGUCCCAGAGCAGGAGAUGGCAGCAAGGAGCCCGCGCAACAUCAGCAGAUGCUGGUGGGAAGGAAGCUGCAGCCUCUGCAGAAAGCUGUCUUGUCUUGGGGUCACGGUUGGACCCUGUCUGUGGACUAACAGCUCAGACCCACCUUGGGCCCAUCCAGCUGCACUGACGCCCUGCUCUGCUCCAUCCUCGGGCCCCGAGCCAAAGCCCUCAUAAUCCAUGCCCCAGGGAGACGUCGUCCACAGCAAACCGCUUCUCCUCUUUGUCUGACCCGAGGCUUGUAGCUUUUUAUUUAUCUUACACACCAAAAAGCUUCAAGAUAAAUUCCUUUCCAGGUUAUUAUUGCAUUCUUAUCUCAGAAACCUGUUUGCAUCUCCCCUUUCUGCUUAUUCUUGGAAUAUUAAGGGUUCUUACCCCGGGAUUUAGGAAAUUCACGAACUCUUGAAAGUAAAUGUAAAGUUUAGUCUGUGUGUGGGGUGUGUGUGUGUGUGUGUGUGUGUGUGUAGUAUUUCUGGGUGGGGGAGCUUCAUAGCUUUCGCCAGGUUUUCAGGAAGAAAGCAACACUGCUUUAGAUGGUCUAUUCUAUUAAAAUGUCCUAAUCGUAUUAUUUUGCACUAUUGGUCUUAACCGCUUCCAGUUCCCUUGGGUGUGAGCAGAGAAGAAAGCUUAAAUGGAUCGAUAACCACAAAGGGAUCCCGUGUGUUGGUCUUACCACUCCACCGCAGGCCAGAUAGCCCCAUGCUAUUCAGUUUGUUCUGCAUCCUUCGGCCGAGUUAGGCCACCGGAGCUAGAUGCUCUGUUGGCAGUCCUCAAAGUGUAGCCCCCACUCAGCAGCAUCACCAGGAAUGAUUCUGGGCCUCCACCCCAGACCAACUGAAUCAGAG